rnacentral:tRNA from 1 species
GGAAGGUGACUCAUGCGGCAAAGAGAACGGUUUGCUAAAUCGUGACGGGCUUUAACUCUCGUCGGUGGGUUCGACUCCCACACCUUCCG